AAGUCGUAACAAGGUUUCCGUAGGUGAACCUGCGGAAGGAUCAUUAUGGAAUAAACCUGGCUAGUCAUUGCUGGCGCUCUCGGGAGCAUGUGCAUGCUUGCCACUUUUAUCUUACCACCUGUGAACCACUUGUAGAUCUGGAGGCAUUUUCACGGACUUUGUCUGUGGUUUUUGGGAUCUGCUGUGCCAUUUUAUUAGGGUCAACUCUUCUGGCCUUCAGGUCUAUGUCUUUACAUCUACUCCAUAGAAUGUAAACAAAAGAAACAAUGGCAGCUUUAUUGCAGCCUAUAAAACUUGUACAACUUUCAGCAACGGAUUUCUUGGCUCUC
rnacentral:misc_RNA from 1 species